rnacentral:rRNA from 1 species
UACGUAGGCAGCAAGCGUUGUUCGGAAUUACUGGGCGUAAAGAGUGUGUAGGCGGUGCUCUAAGUCUGCUGUGAAAUCUCCCGGCUUAACUGUGAGGGUGCGGCGGAAACUGGAAUGCUAGAGGGUGGGAGAGGAAAGCGGAAUUCCUGGUGUAGCGGUGAAAUGCGUAGAUAUCAGGAGGAACACCUGCGGUGUAGACAGCUUUCUGGACCGCUUCUGACGCUGAGACACGAAAGCGUGGGUAGCAAACAGG